GACGAACGCUGGCGGCGUGCUUAACACAUGCAAGUCGAGCGGUAAGGCUCCUUCGGGAGUACACGAGCGGCGAACGGGUGAGUAACACGUGAGCAAUCUGCCCUUCACUUCGGGAUAACUCCGGGAAACCGGUGCUAAUACCGAAUACGACCACUUCAGGCAUCUGAUGGUGGUGGAAAGUUCCGGCGGUGAAGGAUGAGCUCGCGGCCUAUCAGCUUGUUGGUGGGGUAANGGCCCACCAAGGCAACGACGGGUAGCCGGCCUGAGAGGGUGACCGGCCACACUGGGACUGAGACACGGGCCCAGACUCCUACGGGAGGCAGCAGUGGGGAAUAUUGGACAAUGGGCGAAAGCCUGAUCCAGCAACGCCGCGUGAGGGAUGACGGCC
rnacentral:rRNA from 1 species